rnacentral:rRNA from 1 species
UACAGAGGGGGCAAGCGUUGUUCGGAAUUACUGGGCGUAAAGGGCGCGUAGGCGGCCUGCUAAGUCGAACGUGAAAUCCCCGGGCUCAACCCGGGAACUGCGUCCGAUACUGGCAGGCUUGAAUCCGGGAGAGGGAUGUGGAAUUCCAGGUGUAGCGGUGAAAUGCGUAGAUAUCUGGAGGAACACCGGUGGCGAAGGCGGCAUCCUGGACCGAAAUUGACGCUGAGGCGCGAAAGCCAGGGGAGCAAACGGG